AGGAUGACCAUACUUUGUCACUUACACCACCAUUGAGCCCAUGCUUGAGUUGCUGUGGAUCGAGGAGGUCGCACACGAGAACACCAGCUAUAAAGUCCUCUUCCCUAUCACAACACCUCCGAUGGCCAGGCCUCCACAAGUUCGCAACUACACGCCCAUAGACACAGUUCCUUGAGCAGGCAGUGUUUUGUGCUUGAGUUGGGGACCUUCAACCUUGAUGUGGAGCUGCUGAACAUCACCUUUCCCACCAUGGUGCUAACUGUUGCAGAGUGCAACGCCAGGGGCUUCAAUGUUCAAGAGCAGAGAUCCCGGACAACACCUUGAAGACCUUCAGGAUGGAGGUGCCCUCUCAGACCGGUGGUCUUUAAGGAGAGAAGGGGGGAACAAGGUGUCACAACCUUCACUCUUCAGCUGAUCUACGGCCUGGUCAUCUUUCCAGAGUACGCUCCUUUCUCUCACUCUGCCGUUGUGGACGCUGUACUGCUGGACAUUGUAUG